rnacentral:rRNA from 1 species
GACGAACGCUGGCGGCGUGGAUUAGGCAUGCAAGUCGAACGGUAUCAUCCUUUCGGGGGUGAGAGAGUGGCGAACUGGUGAGUAACACGUAGGUUAUCUACCCUCAAGACGGGGACAACCCAGGGAAACUUGGGCUAAUACCGGAUGUGAGCAACUUUUAGUUGUUUGAAAGGUGGCGUAAGCUGUCGCUUGGGGAUGAGCCUGCGUCCUAUUAGUUAGUUGGUGAGGUAACGGCUCACCUAGGCAAUGAUAGGUAGGCGGCCUUAACGGGUGGUCGCCCACACUGGGAUUGAGAUACGGCCCAGACUCCUACGGGAGGCAGCAGUCGAGAAUAGUCUACAAUGGUCGGAAGACUGAUAGUGCGACGCCGCGUGAACGAUGAAUCCCUUCGGGGUGUAAAGUCCAAUCUCGGGGAAAGAAGAGCCGGAGGUUAACAGCCUGCCGGCUUGACGUUACUCCGGUUGAAGCGCCGGCUAAACUCGUG